GACGAUUAUUGGGCCUAAAGCAUCCGUAGCCGGUCCUGCAAGUCUUCCGUUAAAUCCAGCUGCUCAACAGAUGGGCUGCGGGGGAUACUACAUGGCUAGGAGGCGGGAGAGGCAAGCGGUACUUUAUGGGUAGGGGUAAAAUCCGUUGAUCCAUAGAAGACCACCAGUGGCGAAGGCGGCUUGCCAGAACGCGCUCGACGGUGAGGGAUGAAAGCUGGGGGAGCAAACCGG
rnacentral:rRNA from 1 species